rnacentral:rRNA from 1 species
GCAGAAGAGGACAGUGGAACUCCAUGUGUAGCGGUGGAAUGCGUAGAUAUAUGGAAGAACACCAGUGGCGAAGGCGGCUGUCUAGUCUGUAACUGACGCUGAGGCUCGAAAGCAUGGGUAGCGAACAGGAUUAGAUACCCUGGUAGUCCAUGCCGUAAACGAUGAGUGCUAGGUGUUGGAGGGUUUCCGCCCUUCAGUGCCGCAGCUAACGCAUUAAGCACUCCGCCUGGGGAGUACGACCGCAAGGUUGAAACUCAAAGGAAUUGACGGGGGCCCGCACAAGCGGUGGAGCAUGUGGUUUAAUUCGAAGCUACGCGAAGAACCUUACCAGGUCUUGACAUACUAUGCAAAUCCUAGAGAUAGGACGUUCCCUUCGGGGACAUGGAUACAGGUGGUGCAUGGUUGUCGUCAGCUCGUGUCGUGAGAUGUUGGGUUAAGUCCCGCAACGAGCGCAACCCUUAUUAUCAGUUGCCAGCAUUAAGUUGGGCACUCUGGUGAGACUGCCGGUGACAAACCGGAGGAAGGUGGGGAUGACGUCAAAUCAUCAUGCCCCUUAUGACCUGGGCUACACACGUGCUACAAUGGAUGGUACAACGAGUUGCGAACUCGCGAGAGUAAGCUAAUCUCUUAAAGCCAUUCUCAGUUCGGAUUGUAGGCUGCAACUCGCCUACAUGAAGUCGGAAUCGCUAGUAAUCGCGGAUCAGCAUGCCGCGGUGAAUACGUUCCCGGGCCUUGUACACACCGCCCGUCACACCAUGAGAGUUUGUAACACCCAAAGUCGGUGGGGUAACCUUUUAGGAACCAGCCGCCUAAGGUGGGACAGAUGAUUAGGGUGAAGUCGUAACAAGGUAGCCGUA